rnacentral:rRNA from 1 species
UACAUAGGGCGCAAGCGUUGUCCGGAAUUAUUGGGCGUAAAGAGCUCGUAGGUCGUUUGUUACGUCGGAUGUGAAAACCUGAGGCUCAACCUCAGGCCUGCAUUCGAUACGGGCAAACUAGAGUUUGGUAGGGGGAGACUGGAAUUCCUGGUGUAGCGGGUGGAAUGCGCAGAUAUCAGGAGGAACACCAAUGGCGAAGGCAGGUCUCUGGGCCAAUACUGACACUGAGGAGCGAAAGUCUGGGGAGCGAAACAG